CUGAAACUUUAUUAAUAUAUACAUUAUUUACAUAUAAAUGCGGCAGGAAACGCCGCAGCAAUAUACUUAAGGAAGAGUGCACCUGCACACAAAGAGGGCAACGCUUGGGACCCAAAAGAGGCAGGGGGCAGAGGCAGGGAGCCAAGGCAGGCUGGAACCUGGAGGGGCUGUCCGGGGAGCCGGAGUGGAGGGAAACGCGGAGAAAGCAGUUACCAGCCCCCCGGGCCCAACGGCCGACCCCACGGCCGCAGCCUUCGAAUUCGACCCGCUCAUCGCUCUGCCGCCAAGAUGGCCGCCGCCUCCGCAGCCCACGUAAAAUGUAAACAAGGCAUCUUGAGAAAAUGUGUUUUCAUCUGCAGCCUAGAAGGGAUGAUGACAAGCGUGUUGACCCCUUUACUUGCAAUUCCACAUCCAGGAAUUUAGCCGAUAUGUAUUCACAAAGAUGCCGGACCAUUCUAACACUGAAAAGUUAACAGACAGUCUCAGAGUUGCCAGGCAGUCGGCCUCAAAUCAGGCCAGGCAGGUGGGGCCCAGAGCUGGUGCAGCCAAGGUAAGCAGGACAUCACAGGGCUUUUUUCUGCUGAGACAGGGAAGUUCAGUCCUCCUUCCUGCUGCCUCCCUGAGGUGACAUCCAUUGAAUCGGCGGGUUACGGCUGGGACUGCAGGCGGGCCUUGUGGUCUGGGAAACUGAGAGCUAGUAAUUUCCCUAGUACCCCAGUCACUUCUCUCCCUGGCUGAGGGCUUUUUUUUUUUUUUUUUUUAAAGCAUUCAUUUGUUACUUUUAUCCCACCUGCUUCCAAAACAGAUUCGUCCAAAGUCAUACAGCACAAGACUGGUGGGUGGACAUUCGUGUAGUCUUCUUGAGGGCAGACAUUUCAACAUUUUAAGUGCAUAUAUUGAUUUUGGUUUUUGUUUUGGCUGUACCAUAUGGCACACAGGAUCUUAGUUUCCCAACCAGGGAUCGAACCUGCAGUGCCUGCAGUGGAACCAAGGAGUCUUAACCGUAUACUGUUUGCAUAUACUGUUUUCAGUAAUUCCUUAAUGGAAUUCUAAAGGCACAUUUGCACAUGUGCAAAAUAAAUACAUAUGUAAAUAGGUGUAUGCAUGUGUGCUCAGUCACUUCAGUCAUGUCUGACUCCAUGGACUGUAUACGUACAUAUAAAUAUAUAUAAAUACAUAUAAAAUGGAAGAUAUACACCAAACAUGAUAAUUUAUAUCAUCCUCUAGGGAUUAAAGAGGUAGGGCUAAGACAGAUGAAUCUUUUUCACAUCCUGUACCCCAUAUAAAAUUUUUAAAUGUACUUUUGCACUUUGUAUCACUAAGCCUUAAAAGGUUACUUUUCUUUUUCAGAGAAAGAAUAUAAUAAACCUCCGUGUAACCAACACCAAGCUUCCUCAGUUAUCUACCCUCAAAAGGUUCCUUCUUAAAAAUAGUACAUCAUGUUUUAUGUCCCUGGACAUAUCCUGGUUUACAGUCUAUGGGAACUUGAAUACUGUAUAAAAUCUCAAUUAUGUGGAACUGGUUCAUAGUGCUUUUCAAGUCUACUAUAUCCUUCUACUUCUCUGUAUAUUCAUUCUAUUAAUUUUUGAGAGUUUGAUAUUGAAACACCAACUAAAAAUCUUAAUCUACUUAAAAAGAUAAUUGUAAUAUAUAGAACUGUAUGUAACCUUGUUCUGUAUUUCCA